rnacentral:rRNA from 1 species
AGAGUUUGAUCCUGGCUCAGAACGAACGCUGGCGGCGUGGCUAAGACAUGCAAGUCGAACGAACUAUCUAAUUGAGCAAUCGAUAGGGUAGUUAGUGGCGAAAGGGUGCGUAAUGGAUAGGUAACGUACCCCGUGCUUCGGGAUAGCGUCGUUCGCCGCAAGGUGAACUACCGAAAGGGGCGGUAAUACCGGAUAACAUCGCUUGUCGACGGACAGGCGAUCAAAGAUUUAUCGGCAUGGGAGCGGCCUAUCUCUUAUCAGCUAGUUGGUGAGGUAACGGCCCACCAAGGCGAGGACGGGUAGCGGGACUGAGAGGUCGGCCCGCCACAUCGGGACUGAGACACUGCCCGGACCUCCACGGAGGGCUGCAGUAACGAAUAUUGGGCAAUGGGCGAAAGCCUGGCCCAGCGACGCCGCGUGUGCGAAGAAGUUCUUCGGAAUGUAAAGCACUGUCAGGGCUAAGAAAGUACGCUUCGGCGUAUUGAUCUGACCCAGAGGAAGUCACGGCUAACUCUGUGCCAGCAGCCGCGGUAAGACAGAGGUGGCAAGCGUUGUUCGGUAUCACUGGGCUUAAAGAGUGUGUAGGCGGAAAGGUAAGCGCUUUGUGAAAUCCCCCGGCUCAACCGAGGAAUUGCUUGGCGAACUGCCUUUCUUGAGGCAAGUAGGGGUGCAUGGAACUCUUGGUGGAGCGGUUGGAAUGCGUAGAUAUCAAGAGGAACGCCGGUGGUGAAGACGGUGCACUAGGCUUGUCCUGACGCUGAGACACGAAAGCGUGGGGAGCGAACGGGAUUAGAUACCCC